UAGUCGUCAGACCACGUGGAGCCAACAGGCUAGGCUGUGCCCGCCUCACCCCUCCAGGCAGCUCUGCUCAUGGUGCCCCAGGAGGGAAGGCUGAAAAACAAGGGCUCAACCACUAUCGUAACCAGGCCCUGGCAGGAAACAUCCAGCAGUCACAAGAUGGGCUUUUGCAGUAUCUCUGGGCGUGGCAUGAUGUGGGCCAGCAGGCACUGCAGAAAUCCAAAUUAAAACCAGAAUGGAGAACGGGGAGAAGUAACCGGUAUGGUAAUGGUAAAUGGUUCUGAUCCAGCCAGCAAGGAUAUAUUUCAUUUCCCAAGUCCAGAUUUUUUCCACAGGGAAUACAUCUGUGGUGUUGCUAGAGUUCCAUCAGAACUCACCCCUUGGUAUUCAACAUGUAUUUACUUCCUUUGAGGAAUUUAAAUUCCUUAAAUUUAAGUAAAUUUAAAUUUACUUUCCUUUAAGGAUUUUAAUGCGCCGAAAGAUAGAAUUUAUUCACUCCGUAUUUCAACAAAACGCAAACAGAAAUGGUUGCACAGCCCAGGACCUAUGAUGGCAGCCAGACCUAAGUACAUCGGAGUACUCACCAAGCGCCAGGCACAGUUCAAGGACUUUCACACUUAGGCCUUUACGCCUCACAAUGGCACUUUGUGCCACUGCUGUCUUCAUGUUGUGCCUCAGGAAACCAGGGCAGUGUCACCCAGAGCCAAUCCAGAUGGGCAAGUUCAGAGCCUGUGGCCUAACCUAGCCAGUCAGGCGCUAGCCCUGAAGCUCCUCGGGCUUCCCGCCCCACCCUGACUGACCCUGAUAAAGCAGUGACGACACUUAGCAGCUGGUGAUGGUUUGCUGGGAGAGCCUCCAAAACUCAAGUGGGGGCCUGCCUGAUGCCGUCACUCUGGUCCUGGCCCGGCGCUGUACGAGUUAGUCCGUGCCUUAGUAAAACCCCAAACGCUGAAGGACGUCUGUCUUUGCCUGUUCGUGAUCCACGCUUCAGGACCCUUCAGAAGGGGCCCAGGUCUCACCAUGGGUUUUCGGUACGGCCGACGUAGAGCUUCUUUUCGUUCUCUGUGUUAUUUUGCUUUUGGGAGUCAAACCUUGUAAGGACAGGGCACAUCUGGGGGUGGGGGGGACACCAAGAUACCCACCCUCGCGUACUCCAGGGGAGGCUGACCGCAGGAGAUAAUGACCACCAGCACCUGAGUGCUCCUGUGGACCCUAGGUCAAGCACAUCAGAAGCAUUCUUUCAUUUAACCCUCACGGCCACUUUGUGAGGGUAGCACUAUUAUUCUCCUCACUUCAUGGAUGAGGACACUGAGGCUGAGAGAAGGGACUCCCCGGAGACUACCAGCGACAGACAGAGCCAGGAUUUUGAACUCAGGCAGUCUGCCUUCAGAACCCAAGCAUAAAGUACUCUCUUAUUAGAAACAGAAUUCUGCUUUCUUCAGCCAGGGUCAGAGCUCCACUCCGAUCAUCUACUUAGUCUCGUUCUUCAAACCUCUCCCAGCUAAGAUGAUAACUCUGCGAGCUGAGGCAGCUGCUCCCAGCGGCACCGGCUUUCCUCCACCACUUGCCAGUCUGCUCGGCAUGUCAGUCAGUUGGAUCAAAUUUUCCCCGGAACCAGCUAUCCGUUGUGGCCCUUUUCUUCCAACUGGUUUACUGAAAUUUUGAGAAGCCUAAAACUCAACUUCUUUGAAAGCCAGGCUCUCAGGGACAUCACCUAUCGUCGUGCUGGCUCGACUGGUCUUCGUCCUGUUCCCCACCUCGUAGGAGCCCAGCUGCACAUUCCCUCCAUGUCGGGACCACGUUUUCCUUCAUCUGCAGCUUGCUUCUAAGGCCCACCCUGACCAAGCUAGCUGUGUCUGAGAUUUAUAAUUAAGGCCGGACAUAUAAAGAGAUAUGGUAAAGGGCAAUAAAAAAAAGGAAGGCAUCCUAACUUAGAGGGCUUACUACCCUCUUCGACCUUAUCACUCAACUUCGUUCCCAUUUUCUUAUUCUUGUCUCUUUCCUAUCUUAGAAAGGAGUGCCUUUAAUAAAUGGGAUGUUGUUCUCCCAGUA